GGAUGUGAGGGCGAUCUGGCUGCGACAUCUGUCACCCCAUUGAUUGCCAGGGUUGAUUCGGCUGAUCUGGCUGGCUAGGUGGGUGUUCCCCUCCUCCCUCACUGAUCCAUGUGCGUCCCUCCCGAAGCUGCACGCUCGGUCAAAGAGGACGACCUUCCCCCACGAGGAGAGGACCGGUCUUCGGUCAAGGGUAUACGAGUAGCUGCGCUCCCCUGCUAGAACCUCCAAACAAGCUCUCAAAAAGAAUGUCUAUUCUGACAUUAUCAUGUGUAAUGUAUAAUUAUCCAGUGGUUCUCAACCUGUGGGUCACAAAU
rnacentral:snRNA from 1 species